UUGUGUGGGUGGUGUCAUGGC
rnacentral:misc_RNA from 1 species